GUCUACGGCCAUACCACCCUGAACGCGCCCGAUCUCGUCUGAUCUCGGAAGCUAAGCAGGGUCAGGCCUGGUUAGUACUUGGAUGGGAGAAAGCACAAAAUAAGGUGAGAAA
ensembl:rRNA 5S_rRNA 5S ribosomal RNA